UCUCUGUUAGUAUAUCGGUUAGUACACGCGCCUGUCAUUGGACCGCGCGAAAGCUGGGUUCGACUCCCAGACAGAGAG